rnacentral:rRNA from 1 species
ACAUGGAAGUCGAACGCUUCUUUUUCCACCGGAGCUUGCUCCACCGGAAAAAGAGGAGUGGCGAACGGGUGAGUAACACGUGGGUAACCUGCCCAUCAGAAGGGGAUAACACUUGGAAACAGGUGCUAAUACCGUAUAACAAUCGAAACCGCAUGGUUUUGAUUUGAAAGGCGCUUUCGGGUGUCGCUGAUGGAUGGACCCGCGGUGCAUUAGCUAGUUGGUGAGGUAACGGCUCACCAAGGCGACGAUGCAUAGCCGACCUGAGAGGGUGAUCGGCCACAUUGGGACUGAGACACGGCCCAAACUCCUACGGGAGGCAGCAGUAGGGAAUCUUCGGCAAUGGACGAAAGUCUGACCGAGCAACGCCGCGUGAGUGAAGAAGGUUUUCGGAUCGUAAAACUCUGUUGUUAGAGAAGAACAAGGAUGAGAGUAACUGUUCAUCCCUUGACGGUAUCUAACCAGAAAGCCACGGCUAACUACGUGCCAGCAGCCGCGGUAAUACGUAGGUGGCAAGCGUUGUCCGGAUUUAUUGGGCGUAAAGCGAGCGCAGGCGGUUUCUUAAGUCUGAUGUGAAAGCCCCCGGCUCAACCGGGGAGGGUCAUUGGAAACUGGGAGACUUGAGUGCAAAAGAGGAGAGUGGAAUUCCAUGUGUAGCGGUGAAAUGCGUAGAUAUAUGGAGGAACACCAGUGGCGAAGGCGGCUCUCUGGUCUGUAACUGACGCUGAGGCUCGAAAGCGUGGGGAGCAAACAGGAUUAGAUACCCUGGUAGUCCACGCCGUAAACGAUGAGUGCUAAGUGUUGGAGGGUUUCCGCCCUUCAGUGCUGCAGCUAACGCAUUAAGCACUCCGCCUGGGGAGUACGACCGCAAGGUUGAAACUCAAAGGAAUUGACGGGGGCCCGCACAAGCGGAGGAGCAUGUGGUUUAAUUCAAAUCAACGCGAAGAACCUUACCAAGGUCUUGACAUCCUUUGACCACUUCUAGAGAUAGAGCUUCCCCUUCGGGGGCCAAAGUGACAGGGGGUGCAUGGGUUGUCGUCA